UCAGGAUGAGGUGUUCAGCAACGGAUUUCCUCAUCCUGAGGUGUGAGCCGAAGGCGAGCCUCGAAGGACGCAUUGCGGUAGAAGCUCACCCCAGACGGAUGCUUCAAAUUAACCGACCUCCCCGGCGAAUGCCGGGGCCCAGAUGCAUCCGGAGCGGCUGGGGAUGAUCCGAUAUCGUGCGGCGCUUGCCAGAUUGGCGUCCGUGGGUUCGAUCUGGGCCCCGGCAUUCG
rnacentral:sRNA from 1 species